UUACGCUCACUAUGACAAUGCUCAAUGGCACGCUGUAUAACUCGACAACCGUAUGGAUGGGCGGAAAGGACAUGAAUUUGUGGGCGCAAAGCUCUAAGAAUGAACUGUAAGUGUCCAGUAUCAAUGCAUUCGAUAGCUUUUUGAAUAACAUGAUUUCCAUUCUGGUCACAUACACAAUCUAGGACGUGACCAUCUAAUUCCUGAAUAAGUUGAACUUGGUGCUCAGGAGAAAUAUAUUCAAUAGCUUUUUGAACAACUCGGCAACCAUACAUUUGCAAAGAUA